AACGAACGCUGGCGGCAGGCUUAACACAUGCAAGUCGAACGCCCCGCAAGGGGAGUGGCAGACGGGUGAGUAACGCGUGGGAAUCUACCGUACCCUACGGAAUAACGCAUGGAAACGUGUGCUAAUACCGUAUACGCCCUACGGGGAAGGAUUUAUCGGGGUAUGAUGAGCCCGCGUUGGAUUAGCUAGUUGGUGGGGUA
rnacentral:rRNA from 1 species